AUACGUAGGUGACGAGCGUUAUCCGGAUUUACUGGGCGUAAAGGGCGUGUAGGCGGUCUUGCAAGUCAGAAGUGAAAUUCCUGAGCUCAACUCGGGCGCUGCUUCUGAAACUGCAGGACUUGAGUGCUGGAGGGGAUAGCGGAAUUCCUAGUGGAGCGGUAAAAUGCGCAGAUAUUAGGAAGAACACCGGUGGCGAAGGCGGCUAUCUGGACAGUAACUGACGCUGAGGCGCGAAAGCGUGGGGAGCAAACAGGAUUAGAUCCCCUGGUAGUCCACGCUGUAAACGAUGAAUACUAGGUGUAGGGGGUAUCGACUCCCUCUGUGCCGCAGUUAACACAAUAAGUAUUCCGCCUGGGGAGUACGGCCGCAAGAUUGAAACUUAAAGGAAUUGACGGGG
rnacentral:rRNA from 1 species